GAUGAACGCUGGCGGCGUGCCUAAUACAUGCAAGUCGAGCGAACAGACGAGGAGCUUGCUCCUCUGACGUUAGCGGCGGACGGGUGAGUAACACGUGGAUAACCUACCUAUAAGACUGGGAUAACUUCGGGAAACCGGAGCUAAUACCGGAUAAUAUAUUGAACCGCAUGGUCCAAUAGUGAAAGACGGUUUUGCUGUCACUUAUAGAUGGAUCCGCGCCGCAUUAGCUAGUUGGUAAGGUAACGGCUUACCAAGGCGACGAUGCGUAGCCGACCUGAGAGGGAGAUCGGCCACACUGGAACUGAGACACGGUCCAGACUCCUACGGGAGGCAGCAGUAGGGAAUCUUCCGCAAUGGGCGAAAGCCUGACGGAGCAACGCCGCGUGAGUGAUGAAGGUCUUCGGAUCGUAAAACUCUGUUAUUAGGGAAGAACAAAUGUGUAAGUAACUAUGCACGUCUUGACGGUACCUAAUCAGAAAGCCACGGCUAACUACGUG
rnacentral:rRNA from 1 species